GAUGAACGCUAGCGGCAGGCCUAAUACAUGCAAGUCGAACGAUACCAGAGAGCUUGCUUUCUGGGAAAGUGGCGCACGGGUGCGUAACGCGUAUGCAACCUACCUUAAUCAGGGGGAGUAGCCUCUCGAAAGAAGAGAUUAACACCGCAUAAAAUACACACUUCGGCAUCGAAGAAUGAUCAAAUAUUUAUAGGAUUAAGAUGGGCAUGCGUGACAUUAGCUAGUUGGUAAGGUAACGGCUUACCAAGGCUACGAUGUCUAGGGGAUCUGAGAGGAUGACCCCCACACUGGUACUGAGACACGGACCAGACUCCUACGGGAGGCAGCAGU
rnacentral:rRNA from 1 species